UGGGGCGUAGCCAAGCUGGUAAGGCACCGGUUUUUGGUACCGGGUACCGUAGGUUCGAGUCCUACCGCCCCAGCCA
rnacentral:tRNA from 1 species